rnacentral:tRNA from 1 species
AGAAAGAAUGCUGGAACUGCUAAUUCCACCCUCCAUAACUAAUAAUUGUGGCUUUCUU